UACAGAGGGUGCGAGCGUUAAUCGGAAUUACUGGGCGUAAAGCGCACGUAGGUGGCGACGUAAGUCGGGUGUGAAAGCCCCGGGCUCAACCUGGGAAUUGCAUUCGAGACUGUGUUGCUGGAGUACGGAAGAGGAGGGCGGAAUUCCCGGUGUAGCGGUGAAAUGCGUAGAGAUCGGGAGGAACAUCUGUGGCGAAGGCGACUGCCUGGACCAGCACUGACACUGAGGCACGAAAGCGUGGGGAGCAAACAGG
rnacentral:rRNA from 1 species